rnacentral:rRNA from 1 species
AUGUGCGGCCGUAUCCACUGGAAAGCACGAUUUUUCACGUCCGAUCAAUCAUAGUUAGGCCAGUAAGAGCCUUCAUAAGUACUACGGUGGGAGACCACGUGGGAACACAAGGUGCUGCAGUCU